rnacentral:rRNA from 1 species
CCUGCAAGUCGAGCGGUAGCACAGAGAGCUUGCUCUCGGGUGACGAGCGGCGGACGGGUGAGUAAUGUCUGGGAAACUGCCUGAUGGAGGGGGAUAACUACUGGAAACGGUAGCUAAUACCGCAUAAUGUCGCAAGACCAAAGUGGGGGACCUUCGGGCCUCAUGCCAUCAGAUGUGCCCAGAUGGGAUUAGCUAGUAGGUGGGGUAACGGCUCACCUAGGCGACGAUCCCUAGCUGGUCUGAGAGGAUGACCAGCCACACUGGAACUGAGACACGGUCCAGACUCCUACGGGAGGCAGCAGUGGGGAAUAUUGCACAAUGGGCGCAAGCCUGAUGCAGCCAUGCCGCGUGUGUGAAGAAGGCCUUCGGGUUGUAAAGCACUUUCAGCGGGGAGGAAGGCGAUAAGGUUAAUAACCUUGUCGAUUGACGUUACCCGCAGAAGAAGCACCGGCUAACUCCGUGCCAGCAGCCGCGGUAAUACGGAGGGUGCAAGCGUUAAUCGGAAUUACUGGGCGUAAAGCGCACGCAGGCGGUCUGUCAAGUCGGAUGUGAAAUCCCCGGGCUCAACCUGGGAACUGCAUUCGAAACUGGCAGGCUAGAGUCUUGUAGAGGGGGGUAGAAUUCCAGGUGUAGCGGUGAAAUGCGUAGAGAUCUGGAGGAAUACCGGUGGCGAAGGCGGCCCCCUGGACAAAGACUGACGCUCAGGUGCGAAAGCGUGGGGAGCAAACAGGAUUAGAUACCCUGGUAGUCCACGCCGUAAACGAUGUCGAUUUGGAGGUUGUGCCCUUGAGGCGUGGCUUCCGGAGCUAACGCGUUAAAUCGACCGCCUGGGGAGUACGGCCGCAAGGUUAAAACUCAAAUGAAUUGACGGGGGCCCGCACAAGCGGUGGAGCAUGUGGUUUAAUUCGAUGCAACGCGAAGAACCUUACCUGGUCUUGACUUCCAC